rnacentral:rRNA from 1 species
UCUAAUACCGGAUAUGACCUCCUAUCGCAUGGUGGGUGGUGGAAAGAUUUAUCGGUGCAGGAUGGGCCCGCGGCCUAUCAGCUUGUUGGUGGGGUAAUGGCCUACCAAGGCGACGACGGGUAGCCGACCUGAGAGGGUGACCGGCCACACUGGGACUGAGACACGGCCCAGACUCCUACGGGAGGCAGCAGUGGGGAAUAUUGCACAAUGGGCGAAAGCCUGAUGCAGCGACGCCGCGUGAGGGAUGACGGCCUUCGGGUUGUAAACCUCUUUCAGCAG